AGGUCCAGCCUGCCCAGUGAUAUUUUUUAACGGCCGCGGUACUCUGACCGUGCGAAGGUAGCAUAAUCACUUGUUCUUUAAAUGAGGACUAGUAUCAACGGCAUCACGAGGAUUUUACUGUCUCCUUUUUCCUAUCGGUGAAACUGAUCUCCCCGUGAAGAAGCGGGGAUAAUUCUAUAAGACGAGAAGACCCCAUGGAGCUUUAAACCCAGAGACACCUCAAACCCCCCUUUCCAUAAAAGUUUUUAUGUGCUGUCCUCUGGUUUUAGGUUGGGGUGACCGCGGAGUAAAACUUAACCUCCACAACGCACGGAACUUCUUCCUUAUCUAAGAGCAACAUCUCAAAGAAUUAACAUAUUGACGUAAAAUGAUCCAAUAACUUUUAUUUUGAUCAACGAACCAAGUUACCCUGGGGAUAACAGCGCAAUCCAUUUCCAGAGCCCCUAUCGACAAAUGGGUUUACGACCUCGAUGUUGGAUCACGGUAUCCCACUGGUGCAGCCGCUGCUAAUGGUGUGUUUGUUCAACAAUUAAAACCCUACAGUAG
rnacentral:rRNA from 1 species